ensembl:ncRNA Y15E3A.8 ncRNA
CUCUUUCAUCCCUUACUCGCUUUCUUUCUCUCUCACUCUCUCUCACUUGAGACUAUUUUGUCUGUGUGGAUGUGGGGGAUCCAAAGGGAGCGCCCCCUUUUUCGAAAUGGC